UACGAAGGGGGCUAGCGUUGCUCGGAAUCACUGGGCGUAAAGGGUGCGUAGGCGGAUCUUUAAGUCAGGGGUGAAAUCCUGGAGCUCAACUCCAGAACUGCCCUUGAUACUGAAGAUCUUGAGUGCGGGAGAGGUGAGUGGAACUGCGAGUGUAGAGGUGAAAUUCGUAGAUAUUCGCAAGAACACCAGUGGCGAAGGCGGCUCACUGGCCCGAUACUGACGCUGAGGCACGAAAGCGUGGGGAGCAAACAGG
rnacentral:rRNA from 1 species